UGGGUGAAUGAUGCUAGCAAGCAUCCCAUUUAUUCUUUUCUCAGGAGUAUAAACCGUGAACAAAACUGCCUCUACUGAUUCAUUUGAACAUGGAAGUGUUGCUUGUUUACUCAGCCUGAUUGAGACGGCCCUGUCAUUACUUCUGUACUGAGUACCUGGCUUCUUCUGGAGGAGAAGAUGUGGUGUGAAGAGAGAGAAUCGCUGGUUGGGGGAGUUGGUUCCUGGCACUACUUCCUUGAUUGGAGGACCAUGAGAAAUCAUACCUUGUUAUUAAAUGUAUCCUUCUUCAUUGGUCGGUCUAUGCGUUGAGGUGGCUCCAAAACACAUUUGUUUACUGGCUAACCCUCUACAAAGGUAAGAACAGUUGUCUAAGAAACCAGGGGAAAUUUCAACUUGGAGUUUGAAAGCUUCAGG